AACCCUUGUCCUUAGUUACCAGCACGUUAUGGUGGGCACUCUAAGGAGACUGCCGGUGACAAACCGGAGGAAGGUGGGGAUGACGUCAAGUCAUCAUGGCCCUUACGGCCUGGGCUACACACGUGCUACAAUGGUCGGUACAAAGGGUUGCCAAGCCGCGAGGUGGAGCUAAUCCCAUAAAAACCGAUCGUAGUCCGGAUCGCAGUCUGCAACUCGACUGCGUGAAGUCGGAAUCGCUAGUAAUCGUGAAUCAGAAUGUCACGGUGAAUACGUUCCCGGGCCUU
rnacentral:rRNA from 1 species